rfam:Myotis brandtii contig168254, whole genome shotgun sequence.
CUUGUACCGGUGGGGUCCCUCAGCCUGGCCUGCACCCUCUCCCAAUCUGGAAUCCCUCUGGGGAUGUCAGACUGCUGGUUUUGGCCGAUCCCCACCAGGCCAGGCUGAGGGACUCCACCAGUGCAUG